UACAGAGGUCCCAAGCGUUGUUCGGAAUCACUGGGCGUAAAGGGUGCGUAGGCGGCGGUGUAAGUCAGAUGUGAAAUGCCAGGGCUCAACCUUGGAACUGCAUCCGAUACUGCAUUGCUAGAGUACUGGAGGGGAGUCUGGAAUUCACGGUGGAGCAGUGAAAUGCGUGGAUAUCGUGAGGAACACUAGUGGCGUAGGCGAGACUCUGGACAGUUGCUGACGCUGAGGCACGAAGGCCAGGGGAGCAAACGGG
rnacentral:rRNA from 1 species